GUCCUACAUAUUCUUAUUCUAAUACCUCACAACUUCACAGCUGAAUUCUGCUGACAGUGACUGAUGCCAUCUUAUUCUACCACUGAGCCAAGAAUCACAAGAAAAGAAUGGCUGACUAGCUUUAACUUCUGGAGCCUGAAGGUGUAUUUGCAAGGUAUUUCUAGAGACUUAAUGUUCUGCACUUGGGCUGACAGGAUUGCUUGAGUCUUGUUUCUACACUCAGCUUUGACAGUGGAUAAGAUUUCUUCUUUUAUCACUUCUAACCCUGUGAUCAAACCCCCUGAGCCCUGAAGGAGAAAUUUGAUGAAGACCCCCUGUUAAGGACCACGAAUGGGGUAGAAGUGGAUAGGGUUCUGAGAUGGUCGACAGGAACGCUGGAUCUUUUUUUCAUCUUUUAUUUCAAAAGAAAAGUAGCUUGCAGCAUGAUAUGUGUUAAGGAAGUAAUUUAGUAUAUGCUAAAUGUGUCUCUUUGUUUCAACACUAGGUGAGAGGAAUUUUGAAUUUUGUAAUCCUCAAACAUGGAGCCAUUAUAUUUGCUCAUAAAAUAAAUAGGACAUGCUUACACCCACAGAUAAAUGCAGUCUUCAUUCCUUUUCAAGGAAACUUGUCUUUACCUCAGACUGAAACCAUUACCUAAAACUACAGCCAAUCAAUAUGCACAGUUGUGGAGUCCAUUCCCAAUGUACACAACAACUCCUACACCUAAGCAUCAUUGAUGAAGAAGAGAUGAGAAGACUGUAAGAACCAAAGGAUCAGGGAGUUAGCUGUGAGGCUGUGCCACCUUAACAACAAAAGAUACACCAACACAACUGCCCAAACAUGAAGUGAACAAUGGGAACAGCAGAAAACAUGCCAAACCGGGUGCGGAAGAGCCCAUGAGGACUUAACUCUACACAAUGAACUACAGUCAACUGAAGAAAGCUAGGAACAGGGGCCAUGACCUUCCCCAGGGAAAAGCAUAUGAACUGGUUAUUCAGUGCCAACUGAUAAAGCCUGAUAACAUACAUAUUGAAACACAAUAUGU